AGAGUUUGAUCAUGGCUCAGAUUGAACGCUGGCGGCAUGCCUUACACAUGCAAGUCGAACGGCAGCAUGAUCUAGCUUGCUAGAUUGAUGGCGAGUGGCGAACGGGUGAGUAAUACAUCGGAACGUGCCCUGUAGUGGGGGAUAACUAGUCGAAAGAUUAGCUAAUACCGCAUACGACCUGAGGGUGAAAGUGGGGGACCGCAAGGCCUCAUGCUAUAGGAGCGGCCGAUGUCUGAUUAGCUAGUUGGUGAGGUAAAGGCUCACCAAGGCGACGAUCAGUGGCUGGUCUGAGAGGACGAUCAGCCACACUGGGACUGAGACACGGCCCAGACUCCUACGGGAGGCAGCAGUGGGGAAUUUUGGACAAUGGGCGAAAGCCUGAUCCAGCAAUGCCGCGUGUGUGAAGAAGGCCUUCGGGUUGUAAAGCACUUUUGUCCGGAAAGAAAUGGCUCUGGUUAAUACCUGGGGUCGAUGACGGUACCGGAAGAAUAAGGACCGGCUAACUACGUGCCAGCAGCCGCGGUAAUACGUAGGGUCCAAGCGUUAAUCGGAAUUACUGGGCGUAAAGCGUGCGCAGGCGGUUGUGCAAGACCGAUGUGAAAUCCCCGAGCUUAACUUGGGAAUUGCAUUGGUGACUGCACGGCUAGAGUGUGUCAGAGGGGGGUAGAAUUCCACGUGUAGCAGUGAAAUGCGUAGAGAUGUGGAGGAAUACCGAUGGCGAAGGCAGCCCCCUGGGAUAACACUGACGCUCAUGCACGAAAGCGUGGGGAGCAAACAGGAUUAGAUACCCUGGUAGUCCACGCCCUAAACGAUGUCAACUAGUUGUUGGGGAUUCAUUUCCUUAGUAACGUAGCUAACGCGUGAAGUUGACCGCCUGGGGAGUACGGUCGCAAGAUUAAAACUCAAAGGAAUUGACGG
rnacentral:rRNA from 1 species